AGGUGAACGUUUCUAGGCCAGGGAGUGAUUGAUAGCAGGUGUCAAGCAGGACUAGGGAUUUAUGACAGGGUCUGAACCAACAGCUGGAGCAGGACUUCAGACCCUGGUGCUUGCAUACCCAAGUGUCAGCAACUGGAGAUACUGGGAUCCUGGGGCAGCUGCUGGGAAGACUGGAGAGCUGAAAUCCAUAUGGCGUUUACUUCCUGCUGAUACCUCCACUCCAGGAAUCUCUUCAGAAAACUAACCAAGACUCAGAAAGAAAUACAUAACAUGUUCUUUGCUCUAUGUUCUCACAUACCUAAGCGCCAUUUGCAAAAUCAGAGCCCCAGAGAAUACUUUGGUGAAGACCAGGAAAUUUUAACUCCAGUUCAACCUCAAUGUUGAAGAAUUUCCUAUUCUGGCAGUCACAGAAAUGAAUCACCCUUCUGUGCUACAUGCCUCACAGAAGCACUGCUCCUUAAAUGUAUCCAUAUCCCCCUGGACCACGGAUGCCAAGCCACAGUUCUUCUGUGCUACCAGCAGUAAAGUUUGUGAAGUUGGGACAUGGCUAAUAAUUUUGUAGACUUUAUUUAACCAAAGCACAGUACUGCUCAUGGUUCCACAGCUCGACUGGCUCUAAAGGGCUGAAAAAGUAGCACAAACAUAUCCCGUUUGAUAAAGAAGACAUGGUUUUGAAUACACACAAGAAACAGUUCUUUGGAGUAGGAAAGUACAUUUUAAUCUGUUGACUCUCAGUAAACAACUUCACACUGGGCGAAGACAAACUAAAUGACAAUUAUACUAUUCUGGCAAUGAGUUCAUGAGGAAAAGGAAAAACAGAAAAUCCAUCCAUACACACUCUUUACUCAAAUGACACAACUUGUUUUCCUUCCUUCCUCUCCCUCCCCCCCCCUAUUUGAUGCCUGUCUUUUUGUUGUUGUCUCAGUCUAUUCUUCAUAUUAAGUUCCUACAUUAGUCAUGUGCUUUUCAGAGCAUCUGAUUGUAUUUUAGCCCAGGCAAAAUCAAUUUUAGGAUGGUGCCCCCAUGAAAGAUUUACGAAGAUGCCUCUGUGAGAGGUGGCUGCUUCCAGAUGUGAGCAUAGCACUAGUGCAACCACCUCUGCGUUUUAAAUUUUUACAAACAUAUGGUUUCCAUUUUGGUAAAUUCUACAUGUCAGUCAGUUCAAAAGACCUGAUACAUUUUAUAUUACAGUUAUUCAAUAAAAGGCAUUGUCCUGGCAUAUCUCCAGCCCAAGGGCAAGAGAAAGUGUUCUGACUAUGUUGGGAUUUGUUCAGCUUUUCUUCUUAAGUCUACAACAUACUGAUGAGCUAUAUACACAAUAAAAUUGAAGUUAGUCACAGGAUGAUCUUUAGGUGGUGAACAUCCUGAAAACAAACAAACAAACAAAGGAAUAAAAAAGGAAGUGUGGGGGAAGGGUGAACACUAGGAUCAAAAUCUUCAAGUACUGAUGGAAAAAGUAAGAAUAUGAACUUCCUGUCCAUGGUAAAAAGGACAUUGCAGCAAGAAUGACUGAAAUUAUGCAUUGGCAAAAGUAAUGGUGCAUUGGAAUUAAUUGCAAUUACCCACAAACAAAGGCUGAAUGAUUAACAGCAACUACUGAAUGUGAAACCUCUGGAUUGAAUCCCAGGAGUCUGUAUCACCCCCAAAAGGGCUCAGCAACCAAUACAGGACCAGGAUCAUGAAGUCUUUGGGUGCAGACGCUGACAACUGGAAGCCUGUUCUGCAAUAUAUAGUAGUUCAGAAUAUGCCAGCCAUCUUCUCCUCUCCCCAGUUCCUUUCAUGUACAGGACAAAUACAUUUCAGGGAAAAGAACAGUCUGACUUGGAUUGUAAAUAUGCAAUUAGCAGCUGGAGUAGAAGUAAAAGCAGAAAAUGUCAACUGUCAAGUAGCUCCACUGAAAGACACAUGAUGCUUCAAGCUAAGACAGAAAGACAAAAGCAUCUACCAACAAGGAUGAAGGCUGCAAAAUCUCUCUUUAAAUAUUCCAUUAAUCUCUUCCGUGAAAUAAAUACAGUCAAUACAUCCAGGAAUGAGGAAUCCACUAUCAAAACUGCAGUUUAUUUUUGCAAUAAAGCUCUGUGUGGUAAUAAUAUACUCCAUUGCCAGUAGACAUUCUGUAUCUCAUCUCUGUUAUAAUUCAUAACAUAUAGCCUUUUAUGUAACAUAUCGCUGGCCAUAUCCCAGCAACAUUGCUGAUUUUCCAAAAAUAUAUAUAUGAAAAGAAUGCAAUGCAUCAUUGUGCUCUGUACUAUAUUUCCAUUCUAGACCAAAACUUCUAGUUCUGCUUCCAAACAGUAGAUUUCUUUUAAGUCCUCUCUACUAAAACCUGGAUAUGUCUUGGCUCUUAUAUGUGACAGCUGACUCUACUUUACUCCAGAAUUGUGGCAGAGGAAUGCUGGAAGGAAGCAAGAGGGAUGUACAGAGAUAUUCAUUUUCAUCAGGAAGCCAAAAAAAAUCUAUUUGAUGCAACAUGUUAUGUAUCUUAAGGCCCUAUAAAAGGUCUAAAUAAUUACAGGAGGCUGAAUUCUCUAGGCGCUCUUAGAGAUUCACAUCACUAGGAGAGGUUUGUUGUGAGACAGAAUUAAAAGAAUAAGGCUAGUUUUAACCUAUAAAUGUAAAGACUUUGCCAAGCCAAGAUAAGCAGAGAGAUGAACUCUUGCCUGCACAGCUGCCCUCUUAAACCAUCAUAUUAGCCUUGGCUUAACCUUCAUGUGUUUUCUCAAAAGCAGCUACCAUAGAGUUCCUCUGGGUUUAAUGCUGUGAAAAAAAAGUGGUUGUUCGAUGUGUUUUUAAAUAUUAAAAGGAUGUGGUAAUAACCUCCCUACCAACAAAAGCUUUUGGUAGCUUUCUGGCCAUGAGAUUAGUGACUCAAAAUUAUUAUUUUUUUAUUUAUGUUUUAUAUACAUAUAUAUAUAAUUUUUAUAAUAUUUUCUUUAUAACUUUCAAAGAGAUAAAAUAAGUGCUUCUAUUAAUCUCAUAUUGCAGAUUUCCACAUUGCUAGUUAUGCAUAUUCAAUUUUAUUUUAAAUUUUCACAGUUCUUACCAUUUUUGUUUUAUCUGUCGUGUAUUUGCUAAUGUGUCUGUUAUGCUUGAGGUAUAUAAUCUAAAAAUGACAUAUAUAUCCUGUAAUCUAAUAGGAUAACACCUAAAGAUAUAUCUAAAAAACAUUCAUACAAUGUUAGCUCUGGUAUUGAUCAAAACAGAAAACAAGUGCACAGAUUGUGUCUCUGUUGUACUAUAAGUAAAUUUUAUUCCUGCAAAUCCCAUUGAUGAUUCAUCUGUUUUGCACUGGUAGGACAGGUGAAACUGCUGGGCAGUCUCACAUGCCAUGGUCUCCUAUGGGGCUGGGAUCCCAAGUACACUGCUGCAGGUGUGUGCAUCCUCUGCUUCCAGAGUGCUUCACUAGCAUCAUCACAGCUUUUGACAGAGCUCCAUGAUAACAGAUGUGUGGGCUUAUAUUCUACUUCUUUUCUGGCAUGUGAUAGCUUACACAAAAAAUAACCAGGUUUGAAAAGGAUAUUUAAUUUUAUUUUUAAUGGUGUAAUUAAAAGUUUCUUGACCUAUGUAAAAUCUGAA